rnacentral:lncRNA from 1 species
UUUGAUCACGUGAUUAAGUAACCUACAAUGAAGAUGAAACCACUCCUAAAAAAUCAAGAAAUCAAAUUUGAUGGAAUGUAACAUAAUAAAAAUUUGUUUCAAGACAUCAGAAUUGGAAUAAAAAACCCUCCAUCCAACGAAUACCAAUUCGUGGAUGAGAGCUCUUAGUCAAUACAAGUCAAGAGAGAGACAGAGAGAGACGCUCUCCCUAAAGGAGCGUCUCCUCAAGUUUGCUCUCCUGUCACUGACAGAGCCCUGUCUUCACGUCAUCUGCUGAUGACUUUGGGUUCCCUUUUUGGGCAACGUGGCUCCUAUUGCUGGUGCCCAGGAUCUUGUACAGAUUGGUGUUGCAUGGCCUUGAUUGAGCCUCCUCCUGGUUGCGCAUACAUGGCGCGUAUGCUUUGCAUUUAUCUUUCCGGCAUCUAUUGAAGAUUUUGGUUCUACCUCACUAAGCAUCGUGGCUGAUGAAACCUAGGAUCUAUUUCUUGGGGGAGCUAUUGGAUUCCCCUCCUGGCUGAGCAGAAACAGAGACCAAGCGGCAAGUCUUCCCAAACCCUAAUUGGCGGUUUGGCUGUUGUUUUCCCCAAUCUUCGGGUUUUCAACUCCGGCCCUUUCUACACUGAUCAUGGUGGAAGUCUGCCUUUUGUUUGUUAAGGUUGAAUCUCUCAGCUGAGACCAAUGCCGGAAUAGUCUAAUUGGAAUCAUCAGACUCUAAUGUUGGGAAUUUUGAAGAUGCAUCUGUGGCUCCUUCUCCAUGGAUGGACCUGAUGGCGUUUCUCUGUACUUUGAUGAUUUCCAUACCACGGUUGCCACUCUUCGUCUCCUCCAUAGAGCUUCUAGCCAUGGUAGGAUCUCUCCAUUUUACCCUCCUCUGUACUGCUUUUUCCCUAGUAUAUUAAAGGCAUGCUUGCCUAGCAUGGGGUUGUCUACCUCGUGCUUACUUGGUAAUUUGUAAUUUGUUACAAUUGCUAUGCAUAUGUCCUGUUCUCUUGGAUAUGCUGUGGAUGUGCUAUUGGUAUUUUGGUGGGUUGGCUAUUUGCUUUUAUAUAUCUGACGGGUAGCUAGUGCUUGUAUGCUGCCCUAGGCUGCUUAUUACUUGACCCACUGGUUUUAUCAAGCUCCUGCUUUGUGUGUUUCUUUUGGUUAUGCUCCAGCUUGCUUGCAGAUAAGCUGGCUUGUUCACAACCUGAGUUACUGGUAAUGGCUGAUUGGCUUGGGCUUCCUUGCUGGUAGUGGCUGGUCUCCUGCCCUGCCCUAUUGGUUUGCUUUGGAAUGUUGGCUGCUGAUGUUGUCGUGCUUACAAGCUGCUGUAUUGAUGCUGCUAUAUGCAGUAUAGGUAUGCUGGAGAUAUGUUGUUGGUUUGUUCAUUCCUGCAAGGUUAAUGAACUUUUGACUCUGCUAUUGAAGGGCCCCUUUGGGUUGGUCCUUACUGUUAUGGUUAGCUGGAGUAGGUUGCGAGUUGCCCUCCUCCCUAGCCGGUUUGUUGAUGAGUUUUUGUGCUGCUACCCAUUGCUGAUUAGCUAAAUAUCCUUGGAUGCUAGCUGUUGGUCUUGUCCUGCUUACUUUGGUCUGCUGAGGACCGGCUGUUUGGUGGUGCUGGUGUGCUCCUCCCUGAGCUGGUGGGUUUUGACCUCUGAUGCUAUCAACCAGUAGCUGGGAUCAGUCAGGGUGAGGCUCUCUCCCCAACUGCUUGAUCUCGUUUAGUUGUUGAAGCUGGAACAGAUGUGUAGACCUGGUUGUUGCUGCCUGUAGUGGAGAUCAGUUCGGGUGAGGCUCUCUCCUAAUGCGUAGUAUCCCCCCAGUUCUUGGAUGCACAGCUUUCUCCCCAACUGCUUGAUCUCAUUUAGUUGCUGAAGCUAGAGCAUAUGUGUAGGCCCUGUUGCUGUCUGCCUGUAGCGGGGAUCAGUUCGGGUGAGGCUCUCUCCCCAAUGCUUAGUAUUCCCCCAGUUCCUGGAUGCACAGUCCAGGCUGCUCUCGAUUGCUGGAGUUUGCCAUACCUGUUCGGGGCAUUGUUGCAGGUCUGCUGGAGCUUGCCAAUCUGUUCUUGAAGAGCCCUUUAGCUUGGGGCUGGAUUUCGCUACUAGUUCGCUAGAACAAGUUGCGAGCUGCUCUCCUCCCUAACCGGUUAUAUGUUGGGGUUUGUUGGAAAAGGUUUUGCUCCUUGUCUCAGCUGUAGUCUGCUGGAUUAGAAGGAGGUUCGUUUCUCUGAUAUUGGGUUUGUUGGAAAAGGUUUUGCUCCUUGUCUCAGCUGUAGUCUGCUGGAUUAGAAGGAGGUUCGUUUCUCUGAUAUUGCUUCUUUUUGGGUAUCUUAGCCGAUACUUCCAUUGGCUGUUACUUUGUUAUUUAUGUAUGUAUAUUUCCGUACGGCUUUGAUGCUUGUUCAAGGGAGCCUGUUCCCUUUGUUCUGUUCAGUAAGCUUGUCUUGCUAUGGUUUGUUCAAGGGAGUUUAAUCCCUUCGCCUAGGUCUGUCUGUAUAUAUGUACUAAUGGUCUCCAGCUUGUUUUUUAUCUAUACAAUUCUUACAUUUGAAAAAAUAAAAAAUAAAUGGAAGAUGCCAUAAGGUCAAUUAUAUCUUAA